GACGAACGCUGGUGGCGUGCUUAACACAUGCAAGUCGAACGGGAUUUAGUAAACAGAAGCCUCGGUGGAAGAUUACUAAUGAGAGUGGCGAACGGGUGAGUAACGCGUGAGCAACCUGCCUAUGACAGUGGGAUAGCCUCGGGAAACCGGGAUUAAUACCGCAUAAAAUCGUAGAAACACAUGUUUUAACGGUCAAAGAUUUAUCGGUCAUAGAUGGGCUCGCGUCUGAUUAGCUAGUUGGUGAGAUAACAGCCCACCAAGGCGACGAUCAGUAGCCGGUCUGAGAGGAUGAACGGCCACAUUGGAACUGAGACACGGUCCAAACUCCUACGGGAGGCAGCAGUGGGGAAUAUUGCACAAUGGGGGAAACCCUGAUGCAGCGACGCCGCGUGAACGAUGAAGGUAUUCGUAUCGUAAAGUUCUGUCCUAUGGGAAGAUAAUGACAGUACCAGAGAAGAAAGCUCCGGCUAAAUACGUG
rnacentral:rRNA from 1 species